CAGGAAGUGCUACAACCUGGAAAAUGAAUCAGUGGGUCAGUGCUGUCAUGCUGUGGACAGAGAUUAAUGAAAGAGGCCUCUUCUGCAUGUUCAACCUGUCAUUUGUUACUAUGGACAGACUCUUGACUGCUCUGUUUAUCUGUAACCAUGUCUUGACACGCCAUCAGGUUAAAUGUUAACUCACGUUGCCUGGCAGGUGAAACACACAAAGUCUGCAAAAAUCUGAAUCAACAAAACCUUGCUAACUGUGACCAUGCUGAAGUAUGUUCGCUGUACCUGUACCAAUGCCAACAGGAAGUGCAAAGUGUUGUCAUAGAAAUCAGAGCCCUGACUUCCACAACAGUGUCAUAGGAAUCGUACUUAGGCAGGAGAUUUUACUGAUGCAUUCCUAAAGAGCACAUUACUGCCUUUGGACAACAUCUGCUUAUACUGAGAUACUUUGCUAACUUUUUUGAAGGCCCCAUAGAGGAAUCUCUGGAUUGUAUUAUGGGGUGCAACACAAGUAAAGGUACUCAAGCCACAGAUCCAUCCAAAAAACCUAAAGACAGACCCAAAUCUGCCGACUCAUCGGACAAAGAAGAAGAGGACCAUGUCAGUGAAAUCUCACACACAGAGAAUAACGAAGUGGAGACAGAAGACAGCUGAAAAUGUAAAUUUUUUCUAGUGUUACCUUCCUCAAGCUUCUAUGUUGCCAUUUCUAUUCGGUCCAGCUGUGAUCGGCUGAAGUUUCCAGAAGAGUGCAAGGAGAUCUGCACCAGCCUGUUUCUUUACAUGAUGUCUAUUUAUAUACACAUAUUCUCAUCUCAUCACGUCAUCUCUGUCCAUCAUAACUUCUUCAAUACCUUCUUUCUGUAUGUAUUUUUGGUUCCUUGUAUGACCAGAGGUUAAAGAUUCAUUGUUAUUGUGAUAUUAGCAGAUCUUUUCUUAUAUUAUUAGCCGAUUCUAUUCUUUAAGAAUGUAAAUAAAUAUUCUUAAGAAAU